rnacentral:lncRNA from 1 species
AACCAGAAUGCUCUCUCCCGUUAGGCUAUGAUGAAAUACACAGUAUGCCGUGGUUAAAUCUUCAAACAUAAUUAGUUUACAUGUUAUCGAGACAACAGACAAUACCACGUUAUAAUUGACCCAGAUACAUACAGUGUACAGUGGUCGUUUUAAAACAAAUAUAAUUGCGUCGUCAAGGGCCAUCAAAGGACCAUAUCAAAGACGUAGAUAACAACCUGUUAAGACCUGUAAAAAUUAUUGAAAACUUUCGAGACGUUCCGAGAAUUUUAUUCUGACUUCCGGCCGAGAGAUACCGAGUGGCCCAUAGACACAUCCAAAACUCGCCAAUAUAUAAGCAUGAACC